rnacentral:rRNA from 1 species
GAUGAACGCUGGCGGCGUGCCUAAUACAUGCAAGUCGAGCGAACAGACGAGGAGCUUGCUCCUCUGACGUUAGCGGCGGACGGGUGAGUAACACGUGGAUAACCUACCUAUAAGACUGGGAUAACUUCGGGAAACCGGAGCUAAUACCGGAUAAUAUAUUGAACCGCAUGGUUCAAUAGUGAAAGACGGUUUUGCUGUCACUUAUAGAUGGAUCCGCGCCGCAUUAGCUAGUUGGUAAGGUAACGGCUUACCAAGGCAACGAUGCAAAGCCGACCUGAGAGGGGGAGAGGCCACUGGGGAAUUGAGACAAGAUCAAGACAACUAGGGGAGGGAGCAGUGGGGAAGAGAAGGAAAGGGGCGAAAGCAGGACGGAGAAACGUCGCGCGAGUGAAGAAGGUAAUAGGAUCGUAAAAACGUGGUAUGAGGGAAGAACAUAUGUGGAAGGAAAGGAGAAGAGCAUGAGGGGAUGGAAGAAGAAAGAAGCGGAUAAAUAUGGG